GGGGAAUUAGCUCAGUGGUAGAGCGCUUGCCUAGCAAGCACAAGGCCCUGGGUUCGGUCCUCAGCUCCG
rnacentral:tRNA from 1 species